rnacentral:rRNA from 1 species
GACGAACGCUGGCGGCGUGCUUAACACAUGCAAGUCGAACGGAAAGGCCCUGCUUUUGUGGGGUGCUCGAGUGGCGAACGGGUGAGUAACACGUGAGUAACCUGCCCUUGACUUUGGGAUAACUUCAGGAAACUCGGGCUAAUACCGGAUAGGAGCUCCUGCUGCAUGGUGUGGGUUGGAAAGUUUCGGCGGUUGGGGAUGGACUCGCGGCUUAUCAGCUUGUUGGUGGGGUAGUGGCUUACCAAGGCUUUGACGGGUAGCCGGCCUGAGAGGGUGACCGGCCACAUUGGGACUGCGAGACGGCCCAGACUCCUACGGGAGGCAGCAGUGGGGAAUAUUGCACAAUGGGCGGAAGCCUGAUGCAGCAACGCCGCGUGCGGGAUGACGGCCUUCGGGUUGUAAACCGCUUUCGCCUGUGACGAAGCGUGAGUGACGGUAAUGGGUAAAGAAGCACCGGCUAACUACGUG